rnacentral:rRNA from 1 species
AUUGAACGCUGGCGGCAUGCCUUACACAUGCAAGUCGAACGGCAGCACGGGCUUCGGUCUGGUGGCGAGUGGCGAACGGGUGAGUAAAGUAUCGGAACGUACCUUUCAGUGGGGGAUAACGUAGCGAAAGUUACGCUAAUACCGCAUAUUCUGUGAGCAGGAAAGCAGGGGAUCGCAAGACCUUGCGCUGAUUGAGCGGCCGAUAUCAGAUUAGCUAGUUGGUGGGGUAAAGGCCUACCAAGGCGACGAUCUGUAGCGGGUCUGAGAGGAUGAUCCGCCACACUGGAACUGAGACACGGUCCAGACUCCUACGGGAGGCAGCAGUGGGGAAUUUUGGACAAUGGGGGCAACCCUGAUCCAGCCAUGCCGCGUGAGUGAAGAAGGCCUUCGGGUUGUAAAGCUCUUUCGGCCGGGAAGAAAUCGCAUGGGCUAAUACCCUGUGUGGAUGACGGUACCGGAAUAAGAAGCACCGGCUAACUACGUGCCAGCCGCCGCCGUAAAAC